CACUACGGUGGUGAAGUAGUUGAUGCCAAGCUUCCAGGAAAAGCCUCUAAGCAUCAGGUAACAUUAAAUCGUACCCCAAACCGACACAGGUGGUCAGGUAGAGAAUACUCAGGCGCUUGAGAGAACUCGGGUGAAGGAACUAGGCAAAAUGGUGCCGUAACUUCGGGAGAAGGCACGCUGGCAUUAGGUAAAGGGACUUGCUCCCGGCGCCGAAGCCAGUCGCAGAUACCAGCUGGCUGCAACUGUUUAAUAAAAACACAGCACUGUGCAAACACGAAAGUGGACGUAUACGGUGUGACGCCUGCCCGGUGCUGGAAGGUUAAUUGAUGGGGUCAGCCGCAAGGCGAAGCUCUUGAUCGAAGCCCCAGUAAACGGCGGCCGUAACUAUAACGGUCCUAAGGUAGCGAAAUUCCUUGUCGGGUAAGUUCCGACCUGCACGAAUGGCGUAAUGAUGGCCAGGCUGUCUCCACCCGAGACUCAGUGAAAUUGAACUCGCUGUGAAGAUGCAGUGUACCCGCGGCAAGACGGAAAGACCCCGUGAACCUUUACUAUAGCUUGACACUGAACAUUGAGCCUUGAUGUGUAGGAUAGGUGGGAGGCAUUGAAGUGUGGACGCCAGUCUGCAUGGAGCCAACCUUGAAAUACCACCCUUUAAUGUUUGAUGUUCUAACUCGGCCCCAUAAUCUGGGGUGAGGACAGUGUCUGGUGGGUAGUUUGACUGGGGCGGUCUCCUCCCAAAGAGUAACGGAGGAGCACGAAGGUUAGCUAAUCACGGUCGGACAUCGUGAGGUUAGUGCAAAGGCAUAAGCUAGCUUGACUGCGAGAGUGACGGCUCGAGCAGGUACGAAAGUAGGUCUUAGUGAUCCGGUGGUUCUGAAUGGAAGGGCCAUCGCUCAACGGAUAAAAGGUACUCCGGGGAUAACAGGCUGAUACCGCCCAAGAGUUCAUAUCGACGGCGGUGUUUGGCACCUCGAUGUCGGCUCAUCACAUCCUGGGGCUGAAGUAGGUCCCAAGGGUAUGGCUGUUCGCCAUUUAAAGUGGUACGCGAGCUGGGUUUAGAACGUCGUGAGACAGUUCGGUCCCUAUCUGCCGUGGGCGUUGGAAGAUUGAGAGGGGCUGCUCCUAGUACGAGAGGACCGGAGUGGACGAAUCACUGGUGUUCGGGUUGUCAUGCCAAUGGCAUUGCCCGGUAGCUAAAUUCGGAAGAGAUAACCGCUGAAAGCAUCUAAGCGGGAAACUUGCCUCGAGAUGAGUCUUCCCUGGGGCUUUAAGCCCCCUGAAGGAACGUUAAAGACUAUGACGUUGAUAGGCUGGGUGUGUAAGUGCAGCGAUGCAUUGAGCUAACCAGUACUAAUGAUCCGUGAGGCUUAACCUU
rnacentral:rRNA from 1 species